rnacentral:rRNA from 1 species
GACGAACGCUGGCGGCGCGCUUAACACAUGCAAGUCGAACGGAAAGGCCUGCUUUCCCUUGUGGAUUGCGGGUACUCGAGUGGCGAACGGGUGAGUAACACGUGAGUGAUCUGCCCCCAACUUGGGUAUAAGCCUGGGAAACUGGGUCUAAUUCCCGAUAGGACUGCAGGGUGGUGCCUGUGGUGGAAAACGAUUUUCUAGUGGUUGGGGAUGAGCUCGCGGCCUAUCAGCUUGUUGGUGGGGUAAUGGCCUACCAAGGCGGCGACGGGUAGCCGGCCUGGGAGGGUGGACGGCCACAUUGGGACUGAGAUACGGCCCAGACUCCUACGGGAGGAAGCAGUGGGGAAUAUUGCACAAUGGGCGGAAGCCUGAUGCAGCGACGCCGCGUGGGGGAUGACGGCCUUCGGGUUGUAAACUCCUUUCGACCGCGAGGAAGCCACCUGGUUGGAAGGGUGGUGACGGUAGUGGUAGAAGAAGCACCGGCUAACUACGUG